UCGUAGCAAUUGGCCAGCUUCGUUGUGGGAUUUAACCUGUCGACACAUAGCUGACGACAGCCACGUGCACUCCCAAACUUCGACUUCCAGACAUGGCCGCGGUAAAUUUUUUGCUGUAGCCCGCACUAUCCACAUCAGCUUCAGGGUCCCUGUCACUUUCUUUGAGUUUUAAUCUGCGACCGUACUCCCCAGGCGGUCAACUAGCUGCCGGGGCCUUCGGGCCUUGGUAGCGCAGCUAACGCGUGAAGUUGACCGCCCGGGGAGUACGGUCGCAAGAUUAAAACUCAAAGGAAUUGGACGGGACCGCACAAGCGGUGGAUGAUGUGGAUUAAUUUAGAUGCAACGCGAAAACCUUACCUACCCUUGACAUGUCUGGAAUCCCGAAGAGAUUUGGGAGUGUCGCAAGAGAACCGGAACACAGGUGCUGCAUGGCUGUCGUCAGCUCGUGUCGUGAGAUGUUGGGUUAAGUCCCGCAACGAGCGGCAACCCUUGUCAUUAGUUGCUACGAAAGGGCACUCUUAAUGAGACUGCCGGUGACAAACCGAGGAAGGUGGGGAUGACGUCAAGUCCUCAUGGCCCUUAUGGGUAGGGCUUCACACGUCAUACAAUGGUCGGGACAGAGGGUCGCCAACCCGCGAGGGGGAGCCAAUCCCAGAAACCCGAUCAGUCCGAAUGCAGUCUGCACCCGACUGCGUGAAGUCGGAAUCAGUGGGGGUAAUCGCGGAUCAGCAUGUCGCGGUGAAUACGUUCCUGAGUCUUGUACACACCGCCCGUCACACCAUGGGAGUGGGCUUUACCAGAAGUAGUUAGCCUAACCGUAAGGAGGGCGAUUACCACGGUAGGAUUCAUGACUGGGGUGAAGUCGUAACAAGGCAG
rnacentral:misc_RNA from 1 species